GAGACUAUUUUUUCAGUGUGAACCCUCUCAUGUCUAAAGACUCCAUGACUAAUGGCACUCUAGCAUUCAUUUCAUCGGAUUUCUUCUACAGCAGUGAUUAGAUGGUUUACCCCAAGAGGGCUCUCCUCGUAGUAAACCUUGGGAUAUCUUCUCUACUGUGUCAGGGAUUCAGCCCACUCUGAGUUCUCUGUGUAUUCUGAGGCUGGAGCUCCAACUGAAGGCUCUUCCACCAUGAUUACAGGGUCAGGGUUUCUCUCCACAUGACUUUCUUGUGGUUUAAAAGGGAUAAUUUCUGGCUGAAGGCUCAAUAUCCUUGAUUACAGACACAGGGUUUCUACUCGGUAUGAAUUCUCUGGUGUUUAUAAAAGUGGGAACUCUGGGUAAAGGCUGCACCCCAUGGAUUCCAGACAUAGGGUGGCUCUCCUGUGAGUUUUCUAGUGUGUAUAAGCGUGAGAGCUGCGUUUAAAUGCUUUUCCACAUUCAUUGCAUUUGUAGGGUUUCUCAUCAGUGUGAAUUCUCCCCCAUGACUAAGGUUAUGGCUUUGACUAAGUGUUUUCUCACAUAAAUGAUAUUCCUUGUGGUUUCUCUUCUGUGUGAAUGUGCUUAUGUUAUUGAAGCGUUGGAGGGUCACUGAAAGCUCUUCCACAGUCAUUCCAAACAUAGGGCUUCUCUCCCGUGUGAGUUUAUUGGUGUGAAUAAGUCAGCUCUCUCGCUGCAUUACCUUUAUAAGGUUCGUAUUCUCCAGUGUGAGCUGUUGGUGUAUAAAUGCGAGGCUUCAGCUGAAUUAUUUCCCACGUUCAGGACAUUUACAAGAGUCACUCCAGAGUGCACUCUCUCAUGUUGUCUAAGGUUGGAGGGUGACUAAAAACCUUCCACAUUCUGAGAUCUGCAUGGUUUCCCUCUAGUAUAAUUAGUUUAUGUUAAUUCAGUGAUGAAUAACAGCUGAAGUCUCUCCCAUUCGGGCUGAAAGUGUAACACACGUGGAGUUAAGGUUGUUGUAUGUGACAUGUCCUCAUAUUCAUUGCAUUCAGUGGGCUCUUCUCCAGCAUGAAAUCCCUGCUAUUGACAAGGAAAGAGAGGCGUUAAAAAUUGCUCAUAUAAAAAUCAUUCAGUCAUUUCUCUACAUGUGACUUCUAGGCGGCUUCCUCAGUGAUGGUCUUCAUUGAAAAUCUCCCCAUGUUAGUUACAUUCACAGAUUUAUCUGCUUGAUUUCCGGAUUGUCCCUGCAUAAGGAUGCAGAGGAGGGCAGGUAGUGUCAGAGUUCCUGAUAAUGAAACAACAGGUCAUCCCUUGGGCUCAGUGACCUCCUUCAUCAUGUUACUGGCUGCAGUGGACUUAGGAAUGCGGUGAACAGAGGGAAUAGAGAAUGACUCAGAACAGAAAUCUCUAUGUCAGUGGGGAGCAGGCGUUUCAUCAGAGUAUCUGAUUGCUUGUAGAUGAUGAAGGAGGGUUUUGGGAUGCAGAAUUUUCUAAAUCCAUCUGGAAGCCUGGGAAACUCUCCCUCCAGCCACAAGGCCCUGCUCCACACACUGCAGCAACCAAUCUGGAAAACCAGACUCCAACCUCUGCAGCAAUAGGACCCAAGGGUCAGGACUUGGUCAGUGACUCACAGCUUCGAAAUUUUCAGUUCUUUCCAUGUAGAACCAAAUGUGGGUAAGGCCAAAUAUGUUCCCCUAAGUAAUCACGUAAGAUGCCCCUCUUCCUAUCAGCUUCUCUCAAGCCUCCCUGCAUCGGGAGGACAUGGCUUCCUUUCUUUGCCUCCAGAAAGUGUCCCCACACUUAUGUGUGCCUUGAGUCUCAGCCUGAUGUGAGUGGUGGUGGCUGACUCCCAUGCUCUAUAGACAAGUUCUGAGUAAAUAGUGCUUGUUGUCA